rnacentral:rRNA from 1 species
GAUGAACGCUGGCGGCGUGCCUAAUACAUGCAAGUCGAGCGAACGGACGAGAAGCUUGCUUCUCUGAUGUUAGCGGCGGACGGGUGAGUAACACGUGGAUAACCUACCUAUAAGACUGGGAUAACUUCGGGAAACCGGAGCUAAUACCGGAUAAUAUUUUGAACCGCAUGGUUCAAAAGUGAAAGACGGUCUUGCUGUCACUUAUAGAUGGAUCCGCGCUGCAUUAGCUAGUUGGUAAGGUAACGGCUUACCAAGGCAACGAUGCAUAGCCGACCUGAGAGGGUGAUCGGCCACACUGGAACUGAGACACGGUCCAGACUCCUACGGGAGGCAGCAGUAGGGAAUCUUCCGCAAUGGGCGAAAGCCUGACGGAGCAACGCCGCGUGAGUGAUGAAGGUCUUCGGAUCGUAAAACCCUGUUAUUAGGGAAGAACAUAUGUGUAAGUAACUGUGCACAUCUUGACGGUACCUAAUCAGAAAGCCACGGCGAACUACGU